CACCUCUUCCCAUUCCGAACAGAGAAGUUAAGCUUCGCAUCGCCGAUGGUACUGCGCAAGUGGGAGAGUAGGCAGCCGCCGUUU
rnacentral:rRNA from 1 species